rnacentral:rRNA from 1 species
UCUAGUGAUGAUGGCAAAGAGGUCACACCUGUUCCCAUGCCGAACACAGAAGUUAAGCUCUUUAGCGCCGAUGGU